GGACUCCUUCCCAGAGCUAACUACAGACCUGAAAGAUUUCUUCUUCUGCGCUCUCAAGGAACAACAGUCCUUAAAGUCCAGCUCACGCUGCUGUGCUGCAGCCUCGCGCUUGGUCCCCUCCACUGCACUGGGUCUCCCCACUGCACUGAGCCCCCUCUUCACUGCACCCGGCCCCUCCACGGCAUCCAGUACCCCGGCCCUCUAUGGCACCCAGUUCUCUCUCCUCGGCAUCCAGUUCCCCGCCCCCACCUCCGCCCCAACAGCACCCAGUCCCUCGCACCCAGCACCGCCCCCGCCCCACCAACUGUACCCAGUCCCCCCGCUCCACCACGGCACCCAGUCCCCUCAGGGCACCCGGUCCCUCCCCGCCCUCCGCUACGGCACCCAGUCCCCCGACGGCUCUCGGUCUCCCCCACGCCGAGCCUCGGAGAGCAGGGGCUUUGCUUUUCCGGCUGAGGUGCUCAAUAAACAUCUCUUAAACAAAGGAGUGCGCAAGUGAGAUAACAUAAGACAGAAUCUCACUCUGUCGCCCAGCCUGGAGUACAGUGGUGCAAUCUGGGCUCACUACAACCUCUGCCUCCCGGGUUCAAGUGAUUCUUCUGCCUCAGCCUCCUGAGUAGCUGGGACUACAGGGUCGAGAACCACCAAGGGGUGGAAAGAGGAUGAAACAUGGAAGAGGAAGAGCUGGUUGUGAGUCCUGGUGCCAUCACUUGCCCAAGGUGACCUCCCUUCGUCACAGGCUGAG